CGGCGUGCCUAUUGAAGAAUGAACCGGCGAGUUAUCCAUCGUGGCGAGGUUAAGCGGAAGACGCGGAGCCGAAGCGAAAGCGAGUCUUAACAGGGCGCUUAGUCACGGUGGGUAGACCCGAAACCACAGUGAUCUAUGCAUGGCCAGGCUGAAGCUCAGGUAAAAAUGAGUGGAGGGCCGAACCCGUGAGUGUUGAAAAACUUUGGGAUGAGCUGUGCAUAGGGGUGAAAUGCCAAUCGAACGUGGAGAUAGCUGGUUCUCCCCGAAAUAGCUUUAGGGCUAGCCUCAGGGAAUGAACGCAGACGGUAGAGCUCUGAUCGGGCUAGGGGGCGUAAAGCCUACCGACCCCAGUCAAACUGCGAAUGGCUGUGUUAGAGGAACCUGGGAGUCAGACUGCGAGUGAUAAGACCCGUAGUCAAGAGGGAAACAGCCCAGACCGCCGACUAAGGUCCCAAAUGCUGUACUAAGUGGAAAAGGAUGUAGGAUUUCGAAAACAACCAGGAUGUUGGCUCAGAAGCAGCCACCAUUCAAAGAGUGCGUAAUAGCUCACUGGUCGAGAGGUCCUGCGCCGAAAAUGUCCGGGGCUCAAGUACAGAACCGAAGUUGCGGCAUGCAAAUGCAUGGGUAGGGGAGCGUACCAUACGGGGUGAAGCUGUACCGGAAGGAGCAGUGGACUGUAUGGCAGUGAGAAUGCCGGUAUGAGUAGCGAAAAGGACGGUGAGAAUCCGUCCCACCGAAAGCCUAAGGGUUCCUGAGCAACGCUCGUCGACUCAGGGUAAGUCGGGACCUAAGCCGAGGCAGAAAGCAUAGGCGAUGGACAACAGGCGAAUAUUCCUGUACCCGGCGUAAUUGUUUGAGCAAUGGAGUGACGCAGGAGAAAGUGCGAGCUGGCUGUUGGACGUGCCAGUCGAAGGCUGCAGGCUGUGCGGGAGGCAAAUCCCCUGCAUAAAGGCUCAGAGCUGAUAGAUAGACGAGACCUCGGUCGAGUCAAAUUCGUACGCAUCACACUGCCGAGAAAAGCUUCUAGUUAGAUUACGUUGGCCCGUACCAAAACCGACACAGGUAGGCGGGGAGAGUAUCCUAAGGUGCGCGGGAAAACCCUCGUUAAGGAACUCGGCAAAAUGCAUCCGUAACUUCGGGAUAAGGAUGGCCGGAGCUGGUGUAGUCCUUCGCGGAUGAAGCCGGAGCCGGCGGCAGAAGAGAGGCCCAAGCGACUGUUUACCAUAAACACAGGUGCCUGCUAAAGAGAAAUCUGACGUAUAGGUGCUGACACCUGCCCGGUGCUGGAAGGUUAAGAGGAGGGGUCAGGCGCAAGCUGAAGCUCUGAAUUGAAGCCCCAGUAAACGGCGGCCGUAACUAUAACGGUCCUAAGGUAGCGAAAUUCCUUGUCGGGUAAGUUCCGACCCGCACGAAAGGUGUAACGAUUUGGGCACUGUCUCAACGAGGGACCCGGUGAAAUUGAAAUACCUGUGAAGAUGCAGGUUACCCGCGACUGGACAGAAAGACCCCAUGGAGCUUUACUGCAGCUUGGCAUUGAUUCUUGGCAUGUGAUGUACAGGAUAGGUGGGAGACUGGGAGGCGAGGACGCAAGUCUUCGCGGAGUCAUUGUUGGGAUACCACCCUUUACAUGCUAGGGAUCUAACCCUGAUACUACAGGAUCGGGGACAGUGCCAGGUGGGCAGUUUGACUGGGGCGGUCGCCUCCGAAAGAGUAACGGAGGCGUCCAAAGGUUCCCUCAGCGCGGACAGAAAUCGCGCGAAGAGUAUAAAGGCAGAAGGGAGCUUGACUGCGAGACUGACGGGUCGAGCAGGUACGAAAGUAGGGCUUAGUGAUCCGGUGGAAUGAAAGUGGAAUUGCCAUCGCUCAACGGAUAAAAGCUACCCUGGGGAUAACAGGCUAAUCUCUCCCAAGAGUCCAUAUCGACGGGGAGGUUUGGCACCUCGAUGUCGGCUCAUCACAUCCUGGGGCUGAAGCAGGUCCCAAGGGUUGGGCUGUUCGCCCAUUAAAGUGGUACGUGAGCUGGGUUCAGAACGUCGUGAGACAGUUCGGUCCAUAUCCAUCGCGGGCGUAAGAGAUUUGAAGGGAGCUGCUCCUAGUACGAGAGGACCGGAGUGGACGAACCAACGGUGUACCAGUUAUGACGCCAGUUGUACAGCUGGGUAGCUGCGUUCGGAAGGGAUAAACGCUGAAAGCAUCUAAGCGUGAAACCCGCCUUGAGAUGAGAUCUCUCACAGAGGGUGG
rfam:Anaerovibrio sp. JC8 JC8_024, whole genome shotgun sequence.